rnacentral:rRNA from 1 species
CCUUCUUGGUCAUUUAGAGGAAGUAAAAGUCGUAACAAGGUUUCCGUAGGUGAACCUGCGGAAGGAUCAUUAUCAAUAUUUGGGGUGCUUGACACUGGCUCCCAAUAAAACCCAUCCAUGAGUACUCUGCCAUGUUGCUUCCCCAGGCCAGUGGCCACUGCUGCCAGCCAGGCUGUUAUUCGGUCACUUGGUUGAGGUGCCUGGGGAAGGGCCAAUUAGUAAACUUUUACUUUAACUUACUGUCUGAGAAGGCCAUGUGCCGUAAUCUUUAAACAUGUUAAAACUUUCAACAACGGAUCUCUUGGCUCUCGCAUCGAUGAAGAACGCAGCGAAAUGCGAUAAGUAAUGUGAAUUGCAGAAUUCAGUGAAUCAUCGAAUCUUUGAACGCACAUUGCGCCCUUUGGUAUUCCUUAGGGCAUGCCUGUUCGAGCGUCACUAAAACCAGAUCACCAAGAGUGUGGUAUUGGCAGAAGUGGGUGGGACUAUAAGGGACCCUUCCACUCUGCUGGAAUGAAUAGGCUGGAAAAGUAGAUCAUAGCAACAGGCUUUCAGGAGUAUUUUGAAAUGCUAAAUUAGUUUGAAGCUGAUCGGAACCCAGGCCAUUAGGCCCCCCAUCCUUUGUAAAGCAGUAAGGGUUGACCUCAGAUCAAGGUAGGGGAUACCCCGGCUGAAACUUAAAGCAUAUCAAAUAAAGCGGGAGGG